rnacentral:misc_RNA from 1 species
GAUGAAGAACGCAGCGAAAUGCGAUACUUGGUGUGAAUUGCAGAAUCCCGUGAACCAUCGAGUCUUUGAACGCAAGUUGCGCCCGAAGCCAUUAGGCCGAGGGCACGCCUGCCUGGGCGUCACACGUCGUUGCCCCCCCAUCUACUCCUUCGGGAUUGCGGGGGGCGGAUGAUGGCCUCUCGUGCGCCUCGUCGCGCGGUUGGCCUAAAUGCCAAGUCCUCGGCGACGCACGCCACGACAAUCGGUGGUUGCGAAACCUCGGUUGCCUGUCGUGUGCGGUCGUCGCGCAUCGAGGGCUCGAAAAAAUUGCCGGGCUUCGGCUCGACUUCCAACGCGACCCCAGGUCAGGCGGGGUUACCCGCUGAAUUUAAGCAUAUCAAUAAGCGGAGGA